rnacentral:rRNA from 1 species
GGCUUCGGCCGAUGAGUAAAGUGGCGCACGGGUGAGUAACGCGUGGAUAAUCUACCCCUCAGUUGGGAAUAACUCAUCGAAAGGUGGGCUAAUACCGAAUAACACUGCAUGACUUCUGUUGUGUAGUCAAAGAUGGCCUCUGCUUGCAAGCUAUCGCUGAAGGAUGAGUCCGCGUACCAUUAGCUAGUUGGUAGGGUAAUGGCCUACCAAGGCAACGAUGGUUAGCUGGUCUGAGAGGAUGAUCAGCCACACUGGAACUGAGACACGGUCCAGACUCCUACGGGAGGCAGCAGUGAGGAAUAUUGCGCAAUGGGGGCAACCCUGACGCAGCAACGCCGCGUGAGUGAGGAAGGUUUUCGGACCGUAAAGCUCUGUCGAGCGGGAAGAAAUGCAUAGUGGCUAAUAUCCAUUAUGCUUGACGGUACCGCUAAAGGAAGCACCGGCUAACUCCGUGCCAGCAGCCGCGGUAAUACGGGGGGUGCUAGCGUUGUUCGGAAUCAUUGGGCGUAAAGAGCGUGUAGGCGGCUGGAUAAGUCAGAUGUGAAAGCCCUGGGCUUAACCUAGGAAGUGCAUUUGAAACUGUUCAGCUUGAGUAAGGGAGAGGAAAGUGGAAUUCCUGGUGUAGAGGUGAAAUUCGUAGAUAUCAGGAGGAACACCGGUGGCGAAGGCGACUUUCUGGCCCUAUACUGACGCUGAGACGCGAGAGCGUGGGUAGCAAACAGGAUUAGA